CUGCCCGCUGGCGGCGUGCCUCAUACAUGCAAGUCGAGCGAACGGACGAGAAGCUUGCUUUUCUGAUGUUAGCGGCGGACGGGUGAGUAACACGUGGAUAACCUACCUAUAAGACUGGGAUAACUUCGGGAAACCGGAGCUAAUACCGGAUAAUAUUUUGAACCGCAUGGUUCAAAAGUGAAAGACGGUCUUGCUGUCACUUAUAGAUGGAUCCGCGCUGCAUUGGCUAGUUGGUAAGGUAACGGCUUACCAAGGCAACGAUGCAUAGCCGACCUGAGAGGGUGAUCGGCCACACUGGAACUGAGACACGGUCCAGACUCCUACGGGAGGCAGCAGUAGGGAAUCUUCCGCAAUGGGCGAAAGCCUGACGGAGCAACGCCGCGUGAGUGAUGAAGGUCUUCGGAUCGUAAAACUCUGUUAUUAGGGAAGAACAUAUGUGUAAGUAACUGUGCACAUCUUGACGGUACCUAAUCAGAAAGCCACGGCUAACUACGUG
rnacentral:rRNA from 1 species